UGGGGAAUUUUCCGCAAUGGGCGAAAGCCUGACGGAGCAACGCCGCGUGAGGGAUGAAGGCCUCUGGGCUGUAAACCUCUUUUCUCAAGGAAGAAGACAUGACGGUACUUGAGGAAUAAGCCACGGCUAAUUCCGUGCCAGCAGCCGCGGUAAUACGGGAGUGGCAAGCGUUAUCCGGAAUUAUUGGGCGUAAAGCGUCCGCAGGCGGCCUUGUAAGUCUGUCGUUAAAGCGUGGAGCUUAACUCCAUUUAAGCGAUGGAAACUACAAGGCUUGAGUGUGGUAGGGGCAGAGGGAAUUCCCGGUGUAGCGGUGAAAUGCGUAGAUAUCGGGAAGAACACCAGUGGCGAAGGCGCUCUGCUGGGCCAUAACUGACGCUCAUGGACGAAAGCCAGGGGAGCGAAAG
rnacentral:rRNA from 1 species